rnacentral:rRNA from 1 species
GACGAACGCUGGCGGCGUGCUUAACACAUGCAAGUCGAACGGAAAGGCCCUGCUUGCAGGGUGCUCGAGUGGCGAACGGGUGAGUAACACGUGGGUGAUCUGCCCCUUAUUUUGGGAUAAGCCUGGGAAACUGGGUCUAAUACUGGAUAGGACCAUGCUGUAGGUGGUGUGGUGGAAAGAUUAGUUUCGGUAAGGGAUGAGCUCGCGGCCUAUCAGCUUGUUGGUGGGGUAAUGGCCUACCAAGGCGUCGACGGGUAGCCGGCCUGAGAGGGUGGGCGGCCACAUUGGGACUGAGAUACGGCCCAGACUCCUACGGGAGGCAGCAGUGGGGAAUAUUGCACAAUGGGCGCAAGCCUGAUGCAGCGACGCCGCGUGGGGGAUGACGGCCUUCGGGUUGUAAACUCCUUUCAGCCAUGACGAAGCCCUUGUGGUGACGGUAGUGGUAGAAGAAGCACCGGCUAACUACGUG